UGGCUCUCGCAUCGAUGAAGAACGCAGCGAAAUGCGAUAAGUAAUGUGAAUUGCAGAAUUCAGUGAAUCAUCGAAUCUUUGAACGCACCUUGCGCUCCUUGGUAUUCCGAGGAGCAUGCCUGUUUGAGUGUCAUGGUAUUCUCAAUUCUCUCAGCUUUUGCUGAGAUGAUAUUGGACUUGGAGGUUAUUGCCGGUAUUCUUGUGAAAUCGGCUCCUCUCAAAUGCAUCAGUGUGAAUAUUCACUUCAUACUCAGUGUGAUAAUUAUCUAUGCUGUGUGUGAGUGAUAGGACUUCAUGCUUCGAACUGUCGCAAGACAAUCUCUUUGACUUCUGACCUCAAAUCAGGUAGGAUUACCCGCUGA
rnacentral:misc_RNA from 1 species